rnacentral:rRNA from 1 species
UGGACACCGAAGCGGCGGGAUUUUAAUUCAUUAGAAUCGGUAGGGGAGCUUCCCAUGGGCGGAGAAGCCGGAGGGCGACCGACGGUGGAGCGCAUGGGAGUGAGAAUGCUGGCAUGAGUAGCGAGAGACGAGAGAGUAACUCGUCCGCCGUGAACCCGAGGUUUCCUGGGCAAGGCUAAUCCUCCCAGGGUCAGUCGGGGGCUAAGGCGAGGCCGGUAGGCGUAGCCGACGCGCAGCAGGCAGACAUUCCUGCACCGCGCACGCGGCGCUACGACCGACGGGGCGACGGAUGGGGGUGGCUCGGCGGGGUUCUGGACGUCCCCGUGAUGGAGCGCGGCCCGCGGACCAGGGAAAUCCGGUCCGCAGAAGGGCGAGGCUCCGGACGAAGCGACUGAGCGAAGCGAGUGAGCCCGAGGUCCCUAGAAAAACCCCUAGGCAGGCGCGUGCGCGCCCGUACCGCAAACCGACACAGGUGGGUGGGUAGAACAUACCGAGGCGAUCGGGUCAACCAUGGUCAAGGAACUCGGCACAAUGGCCCCGUAACUUCGGGAGAAGGGGUGCCCGCGCGUACGUGAACGGACUUGCUCCGGGAGCGGAGGCGGGCCGCAGUGGAGAGGCCCAAGCGACUGUUUACCAAAAACACAGGACUCUGCAGAAGCCGCAAGGCGACGUAUAGGGUCUGACGCCUGCCCGGUGCCGGAAGGUCACGCGGAGGAGUUAGCGCAUCGCGCGAAGCCCCGAAGCCAAGCCCCGGUAAACGGCGGCCGUAACUAUAACGGUCCUAAGGUAGCGAAAUUCCUUGUCGGGUAAGUUCCGACCUGCACGAAAGGCGCAACGACUUGGGCGCUGUCUCGACCAUGGACCCGGUGAAAUUGCACUGGUCGUGAAGAUGCGACUUACCCGCGGAAGGACGGAAAGACCCCGUGAACCUUCACUGCAGCUUGGCAUUGGCCGCUGGUCCCGCGUGUAGAGGAUAGGCAGGAGGCGAAGAUCCGGAGGCGCCAGCCCCCGGGGAGCCGCCCUUGGAAUACUGCCCUCGCGCGACCGGCGUCCUAACCCGAGGCCGUCAACCGGCUCGGGGACCGUGCCAGGCGGGCAGUUUGACUGGGGCGGUCGCCUCCUAAAGGGUAACGGAGGCGCGCGAAGGUCCGCUCGGGACGGUCGGCAACCGUCCUUUUGAAUGCAAGAGUACAAGCGGGCUUGACUGCGAGGCCCACAAGCCGAGCAGGUGCGAAAGCAGGCUCUAGUGAUCCGGCGG